AGUAAUAUUUAGUUAUUGAUAAUUAACUUUAAAAAAAUUUACUA
rnacentral:tRNA from 2 species